UGUAUGCAUGAAUAUGGGUACAAAAUAUUACGUAUACUUCCUUCGCUGUCUGUGCAUGUUAUAGGCAUCAGCAUAUUUUCUUCUUGUUGUGCCUGUUAUACUACAUCCUGAUAUAACCCCUGUAUUUGAAGUUAUCGUAGCUUUCGAUUCCACGCACGCGGCGUGUUGAUUAAGUAUUGACUACGUUAGGAAGUCGUAUGCAUUAUUAAAAGAAACCUACCACAUGGUCUGCAAUUUUGUUCGCAGCUGUAGUUUCUUACACAUGCCAUAGAAACGCGGUUGCUUUUAAUCCUUCUUUAAAUACAUGUUCAUUCACUUCAUUCGCAUAAAGGCUAAACUCUUGCAAGAAACGCCAUGUCCCUGCAUGACCGUGCACUGCGAGUGACCCCGCUCUCAAACAUGAAAUAUGUGCAUGCAUACGUAUAUGUAUAUUUGUGUACAAGCUUUUGCGCUAGGUGCUGAACGGCAGACUCUGAAUGAUCUAGUUUUGGGUAUGUUGACGCAUUUACGGCUGGGAUACAAGUCACGAGUAAAAGUGAUGCAGUAUUACAGGAGGCCUCGAAGCGAAUUAGUCCUAGCUAUAGUUUGAUGUCAGCUGCAUCCCUCGUUUCAUGGGGAUGUGCUGGCGGGCUGGCUGCAUGAAGGAAGGAAAAAAGGUUUAUGACAAUGUAAGACAGACAUGCAAACAUAAAAAAAUAAAAAAUGCCGAGAAAGACGAAAAGGGUGGGGCAAACGGCGGUGUCUGUCUUGCCCUUUUCGUUACUUGUGCCUGUGUUUGCAAGCCUUCCUUUUAGUGACAUGAUUCCAUACCAAGCCACUCGAAUUUAUUUCACUGGAAAAAAAAAAAAAACUUUUCUAGUGGCUUGAUGAGUGAACGGGGAGGGGGCGUCGAGGUGGACGCCGCCAAGCUCGCACAAAAACACAGUAUAUAAUUCCCACCGCUUUGUAAUGUGUCCCGUUUAUUCAAGCUAGCCCAACAUUCUACCUAACUGCGACACUCCGCCUGUGCCGCCUCUACGAUGCAGAGAACUAAAUCCAGCGCAUAAAUGUAAAAUAUAAAGUGGUAUAUGACUUGCAGUGGUGUACGUAUGAUUACUGCUUUUAGUAAACUGCGCUUUUUGGUGUUUUUCGUUUCGUUUUUACAAUCAAUAACCACUAGGGGCGCGAUUGUAAUGGUUCGGAUUUGAUCGCUCCCCUGAAGUCAUAUCCAUAGCUCAACGUUGUGCGCGUGUCCUGCGUAGUGUGUGUUUUGUUGGAAUUGCCCUAGCUGCUACGCACGUGCUCCAACAAAUCACUCUGGUUCUGCGGUUAGUGCACGGUGCGAUCUGAAAACAAAAUGCUUGUGUGCGUGCAAUAUGAAGUGGACGGAACGACUGAAGUUGUUCAGCCUCAAUCCAUCCGCGACUUUCACCCGACAAGCGUCGCCGAUUUUGACUGCGGUACGUUGUACGAUGUGUGGUGGACCGGCGAUGACUACAUCUCCGGCGGCUACUAUAAAGCCAAAUUGCUCCACCUGACAGAAACGUCGGAGGAAAUGGAUUUGUUCCUCAGCAAGAGGCCUAGGAAGCCCAUAAACUCCACUGAAACAAAAGGAAAAAAGAGGACAAAAGGGAAGCCCGCACCAUCAACCAAGCAGCUUCGUCUCGAAACUCAAAGCACAGUUGAGGCGGAGCUUGCAGCUCAGAUUGAAGGAGUUGGCACACCGAAAUGCACAUGUUGCAGUGACGGCUGUGGCCAACUAGAUGAAGCGCAAAAAGAAAUUGCUCUUCUGAGAGAGGAGCUACUAGCUCAAAAAUCGAGCUUCCUCAAAAAAAUAGAGGAGCUGGAGAAAAGGUUGAACAGCACUCUGGAUAUGAAUGUAGAGCUGCAAAAAGCUCUGACAUCGAAGAUUUUUA